GACGGACGCUGGCGGCGUGCCUAAUACAUGCAAGUCGAGCGAACAGAUGAGAGCUUGCUCCUCUGACGUUAGCGGCGGACGGGUGAGUAACACGUGGAUAACCUACCUAUAAGACUGGGAUAACUUCGGGAAACCGGAGCUAAUACCGGAUAAUAUAUUGAACCGCAUGGUUCAAUAGUGAAAGACGGUUUUGCUGUCACUUAUAGAUGGAUCCGCGCCGCAUUAGCUAGUUGGUAAGGUAACGGCUUACCAAGGCAACGAUGCGUAGCCGACCUGAGAGGGUGAUCGGCCACACUGGAACUGAGACACGGUCCAGACUCCUACGGGAGGCAGCAGUAGGGAAUCUUCCGCAAUGGGCGAAAGCCUGACGGAGCAACGCCGCGUGAGUGAUGAAGGUCUUCGGAUCGUAAAACUCUGUUAUUAGGGAAGAGCAAAUGUGUAAGUAACUAUGCACGUCUUGACGGUACCUAAUCAGAAAGCCACGGCUAACUACGUG
rnacentral:rRNA from 1 species